ACCACGGAUGUGACAAUUACCCUCUAGAUGUUAUUUAUUUUACGCUUGAUGAUAAGUGUUUGGUGUUUAUGACUCUUUGGAUUUCCACAUCAAGGCCACGUGUAAUAGAACAAAACAUGAUCUACUUUGAAAUGGCGUUAUUUCGCUAGAAAGUUCAAUAGUGUGGUAUGUGAGUCCCCGCAGCAAAACAAGGUAAAUUGUCAGACAUCUCAACUCUGAAUGAACUCUAUGAAUGAAAAAUGAAUUCAUUCUUGAACAGGAAAGCUCUGGCAUGAUGAAGUCUCAGGACUGUGAGAACUGGGGCUGUUUGGGGAAGUUCUGGCCAGAUCCUGGCGAUUGUUUGCUUUAUCACUAUGGGAGCAAAGAAGAGAUCAACACGGCUUCUCAAAAGGCUUCCUCUUGCAAGAUGAAAAACAUGAUUGGCAGGAGUGAGGAAAACCGCCAAGGCUGAGAGCAGGCCUGGCUCCCUGGUCUAAGACGAAAUAAUGACCUCCGGAUCAGGACAUGAGAACAACAGCCCUCUGUGUCGCUGCUCUUGGUGCUCGCGGGCUCUGUCUCCUGAGCUAAUAAACGUUUACUGCAGGGUUUCCUGAGCCUUGAGCCGAGGAAUUUGAUGGAGACAUCCUGUUGAGGACAGAGUGUUCUAAAGUCUCUUGCUAUAGAAAUUCCUACCACCAGUUUAAGUUACCACCUUUAAAUUACCUGCCCACUUGGGCGUGGCCUCUUAUACUAUUUAUGCCCAUGUAGAGUGUGCGCCCAGCCUCUUCCAGCUAUGGGAUUCGGUUACUGUUCCCAGUUCCAGCAGAGGACUAUGACCUGUGAGUCUACCCCUAAAUAAAUAACCCUCUAUUGUACUCAA